rnacentral:rRNA from 1 species
UCUCUAUCCGCGAGGGACUACGAGCAUUAGCUUAAAACCCAAAGGACUUGGCGGUCUUUAGACCCACCUAGAGGAGCCUGUUCUAGAACCGAUAACCCCCGUUAAACCUCACCCUCCCUUGUUUAUCCCGCCUAUAUACCGCCGUCGUCAGCUUACCCUGUGAAGGCCUCAAAGUAAGCAGAGUCAGUAUAACUCAAAACGUCAGGUCGAGGUGUAGCAUAUGAGAGGGGAAGAAAUGGGCUACAUUCCCUACUGUAGGGUACACGGACAAUGUAAUGAAAUUUACAUUAGAAGGAGGAUUUAGCAGUAAGCAAAAAAUAGAGAGUUUUGCUGAAACUGGCUCUGAAGCGCGCACACACCGCC